CAUUCUCUUCGGACACUAAUACAGGUGGUGCGUGGUUGUCGUCAGCUCGUGUCGUGAGAUGUUGGGUUAAGUCCCGCAACGAGCGCCACCCCCAUGUUUAUUUGCCAGCAUUUCGGAUGGGAACUAUAGACAGACUGCCGAUAAGAAAUCGGAGGAAGGUGGGGAUGACGUCAAAUCAUCAUGCCCUAUAUGUCCUGGGCUACACACGUGCUACAAUGGUCGUUACAGAGAGCAGCUACACAGUGAUGUCACGCGAAUCUCAAAAAGGCGAUCUCAGUUCGGAUUGUACUCUGCAACUCGAGUACAUGAAGUCGGAGUUGCUAGUAAUCGCAAAUCAGAAUGUUGCGGUGAAUGCGUUCCCGGGUCUUGUACACACGCAAAAA
rnacentral:rRNA from 1 species